AUAUCUGAGAGUACUGUUCAGGUAUUGACGGUAUUUACCAGAAAGCCACGGCUAACUACGUGCCAGCAGCCGCGGUAAUACGUAGGUGGCAAGCGUUGUCCCGGAUUUAUUGGGCGUAAAGCGAGCGCAGGCGGUUUUUUAAGUCUGAUGUGAAAGCCUUUCGGCUCAACCGAAGAAGUGCAUCGGAAACUGGGAAACUUGAGUGCAGAAGAGGACAGUGGAACUCCAUGUGUAGCGGUGAAAUGCGUAGAUAUAUGGAAGAACACCAGUGGCGAAGGCGGCUGUCUGGUCUGUAACUGACGCUGAGGCUCGAAAGUAUGGGUAGCAAACAGGAUUAGAUACCCUGGUAGUCCAUACCGUAAACGAUGAAUGCUAAGUGUUGGAGGGUUUCCGCCCUUCAGUGCUGCAGCUAACGCAUUAAGCAUUCCGCCUGGGGAGUACGGCCGCAAGGCUGAAACUCAAAGGAAUUGACGGGGGCCCGCACAAGCGGUGGAGCAUGUGGUUUAAUUCGAAGCUACGCGAAGAACCUUACCAGGUCUUGACAUACUAUGCAAAUCUAAGAGAUUAGACGUUCCCUUCGGGGACAUGGAUACAGGUGGUGCAUGGUUGUCGUCAGCUCGUGUCGUGAGAUGUUGGGUUAAGUCCCGCAACGAGCGCAACCCUUAUUAUCAGUUGCCAGCAUUAAGUUGGGCACUCUGGUGAGACUGCCGGUGACAAACCGGAGGAAGGUGGGGAUGACGUCAAAUCAUCAUGCCCCUUAUGACCUGGGCUACACACGUGCUACAAUGGAUGGUACAACGAGUUGCGAACUCGCGAGAGUAAGCUAAUCUCUUAAAGCCAUUCUCAGUUCGGAUUGUAGGCUGCAACUCGCCUACAUGAAGUCGGAAUCGCUAGUAAUCGCGGAUCAGCAUGCCGCGGUGAAUACGUUCCCGGGCCUUGUACACACCGCCCGUCACACCAUGAGAGUUUGUAACACCCAAAGUCGGUGGGGUAACCUUUAGGAACCAGCCGC
rnacentral:rRNA from 1 species